AUCCGCUCCAUGAUUGAUAAGCUCUCGCACAAAGUGUAUCUUUCCCUUAGUUGCUGCAAGGAUGAGGGCUGUGCUACCAUUCUAUUGUAGGAACAACGAAAUCAACUAUCUAAAAUCUGACGAUUGACUGAUUAAAGUUUUGGAGACCAGCGAGAUUAUCAUCCGUGAUAUAGCUGGCGAGAGUUCGGUAGCAGAGUGAUACCAUCGAGUCAGUCCGAUGCAAGGUCUGUGAAAAAGUGGAAUCGACUGGUUAAAAAUGGGCGAGAGAUCGUCUGUGACUAAACCUUGAAAAGUCUGGCGAAUUAAUUGCUGUUCAAGUACAAUCACGUAGAAUUCGUACUCCACCCUGAAGGAAUCGAAGGGAACAUCGACUCCGAGAUUUUAAUUUUCACAGGUACGACGUUGCCUCGAACAAAGGUAAAAAAAAUACACAAGACAGCAAUUGGAUUUGAAAUUUAAAUAACAGUUCACACUAAUAGGCUUGACGCAUAGUUCUCCGAGAAAAAUAAUGAUAAAAUGAGAAAUCUGCUGGCAACGUUUAUUUGCUGCUGCUGGAAAUAACAUUUAUUAUAUUCUAUAAUAAAUAUAACAUGUAAUCUGAUACAUUCGCGACAUUUAAAUUAAUUACAUUUUAAU